GCUCAUCUGAUGAGCCUCUGCCUUUUGGUUCUCUUGGAACAAGACGGCAAAGAGUCACUUUGACCGUCGCGCAUACCUUAAGCGGGUCUGCCGCCUUCGUUUCUCUUUCUUCAGCGAAUGACUUUGGAUCAGCGCUCGCGCGCCGUACCGCGGCCCUUUGGGCCGCUGGCGCUCCGCGAGGGCGCGGCAUAAGCCGCGACGGCCAGCCUGCUAGUCAGAUUUGGCGGCCUUGCGAGGCUUUGCCUCGAUGUCACCAGCUCGUUACUGGCGGAGCGCGGUCUUUAGGGCUUGUAGCUCAGUUGGUUAGAGCGCGCGCUUGAUAAGCGUGAGGUCGGAGGUUCAAGUCCUCCCAGGCCCACCACUUCGCAAUCCGCAAGGGUUGUCGGAUCUCCUCUGCAUCACUUCGAGAGGUAAUAAGGGGCCGUAGCUCAGCUGGGAGAGCGCCUGCUUUGCAAGCAGGAUGUCGUCGGUUCGAUCCCGUCCGGCUCCACCACUUGCGCAAUCCCGGAGGGAUUGUCGCGGUUCGCGACGAUCCUGCGGAUCGCGCGGAGGUGUUGAGUAGAGAUGAGGUGUCGGAGAAAAAAGUCAUUCGUAAAAAGGUUUGUGGUGAGCAUCUAGCUCGCCGCUUGUUCUGUUUGACAUUGUAAAGAGAAGAUUUGUUCGAACUUCAUGAGCUUGAAAAGGUUUGUGAUUUGUCGCGGGAGACGCUCAAUCUCCCGCAUAUGAUGGGCUUGCCUAACCGCACCCUCGAACCGAUCUCGAGAAGCUGGUCUUUUUGUGCCAAUGACAUCGAAGUUGGAUCCCGCACAGGAUCUGCUUCAGGCGACAAUUCCUUUGGAAUUGCGCGGAUGCUGAUCCCGUAAGGGGUUGGCUGAAGCGACAAUCCUUUGGAUUGCGCGGGUGGGCAUUGGCAAUGAGAACGAUCAAGUGUCUUAAGGGCAAUUGGUGGAUGCCUUGGCAUGCACAGGCGAUGAAGGACGUGAUACGCUGCGAUAAGCUACGGGGAGGUGC
rnacentral:misc_RNA from 1 species